AUUGAACGCUGGCGGCAGGCCUAACACAUGCAAGUCGAACGAGCGGCGGACGAGUGAGUAAUGUAUGGGAAACUGCCUGAUGGAGGGGGAUAACUACUGGAAACGGUAGCUAAUACCGCAUACAAUCAGAUGCACCCCUAUGGGAUUAGCUUGUUGGUGGGGUAACCGUUCACCUAGGCGACGAUCCCUAGCUGGUCUGAGAGGAUGACCAGCCACACUGGAACUGAGACACGGUCCAGACUCCUACGGGAGUCAGCAGUGGGGAAUAUUGCACAAUGGGCGCAAGCCUGAUGCAGCCAUGCCGCGUGUAUGAAGAAGGCCUUCGGGUUGUAAAGUACUUUCAGCGGGGAGGCGUUACCCGCAGAAGAAGCACCGGCUAACUCCGUGCCAGCAGCCGCGGUAAUUC
rnacentral:rRNA from 1 species